GAGUGACUUUCUUGACUAAGUUGUCAUGGGUAUAAAUGACAAACCUUUUAAUUAACUUUUCUAGUUAUGUCAGAAUGUAUUUUUGACUUAUUUCUAGUAAGUAUUAUCGCUACUCGUUCCCCUUUUCGUUGUAUCUCAGCAGCCAAUGGGUGCACGAAGUACAUCGACGCCGCGCGCCAAUCAACAAACUGAAGAGGAAGGUGGCGACGUGUGAUUGGUUGUUGCUGUGAGGCGCCAAUGUAAACAGGAAGUACGCUACAAUGUUCAGCAGCAAGGAGAAGUGAAGCACGUCCACAAAGAUAAGGACGGACAAAGACAUUGUGACAGAACAGAAAAUAACAGAGAGCUGCAGCGUGGGAAAGGUCACUGUGGGAACUCGGCCUUUUUUUUUUUUUACAAUUUCUGGGCCACAACAAACGUGUCCGUACGUCGCCAUUGUUCUCUCGUUUCCUCUCCGCUUUCUUUUCCGUCUUUUGCCGCGCACUUUGUCAAGUUGAGAAGUUCCCACGCUCUCCUGGAGGUCUUCAUGCAGGCCUGUUGGACCUCUCCGUUGUCGUCAUAGUCCUUGGCCGUGGGAAUCACAAUGUUGACUCGUCCAAACCAAGGAAGGGACUGUUCCCUGUCCACCAAUCAACACACUGCACUCUGCCUAGCUCCGCCCCUUAAGUCAUGGCCUUACUGUGACUGGUCCAAAAAGAGCCUACAAACCAGCCUGGAAAGAACGAGGGAAUUGUUGUGGACUUAGACUUAGAGAGGAGAGGAAACCCACACCCACUCUUGUCUUUGCCCCCACUCUCUUCUCCAUCUCGUGUCUUCGCCCUUUGCUGACGGCAAGGUAAACAUUAUUGAACUUUUUUUGAUUAGUGUCGCAACUUGGUUGUUAACGUUUUUGAGAGCACCAAAGGGACAGUUCAAGUUGCCGUUGUUGUUGUGUUAUUUUGGUCGGUCUUUUACUAAAAGAGGGACUUUUGUCGAGGCCAGAACCAAUUAAUUAUGUUCACAUUGUUUCUUAUGGGAAACUUUGCUUCACGAGCCAUGUUCAAAAACCAAUAAAGUUCAUAAAGUGAGGUUCCACUGUACAAUGGUAGCUUGGUUUUUAUAAGCAAAAGGUCGGAUGUACAUGGAAUCGUACCAAAACUGACGCAAUUUUUCCCCAUAAGAAAUAAGAUGAAUCAAAUUAAUUCAUACCAGACACCCAAACAUAUGAACACAAAACAUGUUUAUAGUUUUAAAUGUAGAAAAUAAUUUUGAAAUACAUAUAAAUGAAGAAUUAACAUUUAACUUAACUUU